rnacentral:rRNA from 1 species
AUGUUGUGUGGUGCACCACCACCAGGGGCUGGGCGUGGCUCUCUUGGACGGGGGCUCCACGACAGCAUCCUCCUCCUCCUUGCGGUGGUCACGCCGCCGCUCUGCACCGUGCAGAGCCCCAUAUCGCAGCCCCCGUCGCCCGGCGCGCCCACCGCGUCCCUGCUCCUCCGCCCCGACGCCAACGGAUCCACCUCCCCUUCCAUAGCCCCAUCUGUGGGGUCCCACGACGAGGACAAGGCGCUGGUGGCAUCCCCUCCCGUGCCCACCGAGACGUCCCAGCUCCAUUCCUCCCACCAUGGCCCCCUCCUCCGCGCACUCGUCGGCGCCGUCUCAUCCCUGCACUCCGCCGCCGCGCCCGCCCCCGCCCCUGCCGCCGACAAGGAAGGAGAUGACGACGAUGCUGAUUACAGCAAGAAGAAGGGCCAGGCCCCAGCAAGUUAG